rnacentral:rRNA from 1 species
CCUACGGGAGGCAGCAGUGAGGAAUAUUGGUCAAUGGACGAGAGUCUGAACCAGCCAAGUAGCGUGAAGGAUGACUGCCCUAUGGGUUGUAAACUUCUUUUAUAUGGGAGUAAAAUGCUCCACGAGUGGGGUUUUGCAUGUACCAUAUGAAUAAGCAUCGGCUAACUCCGUGCCAGCAGCCGCGGUAAUACGGAGGAUCCGAGCGUUAUCCGGAUUUAUUGGGUUUAAAGGGAGCGUAGGUGGACUUUUAAGUCAGUUGUGAAAGUUUGCGGCUCAACCCUAAAAAUGCAGUUGAUACUGGCAGGCUUGAGUACAGUAGAGGUAGGCGGAAUUCGUUGUGUAGCGGUGAAAUGCUUAGAUAUCACGUAGAACUCCGAUUGCGAAGGCAGCUUACCGGACUGCAACUGACACUGAGGCUCGAGAGUGUGGGUAUCGAACAGGAUUAGAUACCCCGGUAGUC